UACGUAGGGUGCAAGCGUUAAUCGGAAUUACUGGGCGUAAAGCGUGCGCAGGCGGUGAUGUAAGACAGGUGUGAAAUCCCCGGGCUCAACCUGGGAAUGGCAUUUGUGACUAGAAGGCUAGAGUGUGUCAGAGGGGGGGUAGAAUUCCACGUGUAGCAGUGAAAUUCGUAGAUAUCGGGAGGAACACCGGUGGCGAAGGCGGCGAUCUGGGUCGAUACUGACGCUGAGGUGCGAAAGCGUGGGGAGCAAACAGG
rnacentral:rRNA from 1 species